GACGAACGCUGGCGGCGUGCUUAACACAUGCAAGUCGAACGGAAAGGCCUUCUUUCCCUUGUGGUUUGCGGGUACUCUAGUGGCGAACGGGGGAGUACCACGUGAUUGAUCUGCCCCCAACUUGUGUAUAAGCCUGGGAAACUGUGUCUAAUUCCCGAUAGUACUGCUGGGUGGUGCCGGUGGUGGGACACGAUGUGCUAGUGGUAGGGGAUGAGCUGGCGGCCUAUCAGCUGGUUGGUGGGGUAAUGGCCGGCCAAGGCGGGGACGGGGAGCCGGCCUGAGAGGGGGGACGGUGGAACUGAGACAGGGACACGGCCCAGACGCGAGGGAGAGGCAGCAGUGGGGAAUAUUGGGCAAUAAGCGGAAGCCUGAUGCAGCGAGGCGGCGUAGGGGAUGACGGGCUUGGAGUUGUAAACUCCUUUGGAACGAGAGGAAGCCACCUGGUUGGAAGGGUGGUGACGGUAGUGGUAGAAGAAGCACCGGCUAACUACGUG
rnacentral:rRNA from 1 species